rnacentral:misc_RNA from 1 species
GCAUUUGUGGAAACACUGCUACCUCAGGCUAAAACUCCUCCUCAAGAUACCUUGCAGAAACUGGAGAAGGACCAUACUUUCAAAGAACUCUCUGAGGAAAGCUCUCUGUUUGUGUUUAAGCUAGGUUUGGCUAAGAGACAAUGUUGCCUCUUGUUCAAUGGGCUUGUCCAUGAGCCCACUGAGGAUGCUCUUAUGAAUGCAAUGAAUGAUGAGCUUCCUAAAAUACAAGAACACGUUUAUUUUGGGCACAUAAACUCUCAUACAGAUAUCCUGGACAAGUUUCUAUCAGAGAGUGGCGUGCAGCGCUAUAACCCACUGAUUAUAGCUGAAGGGAAAGUCAAACCGAGAUUUGUAUCUCUCUCUGCUUUAAUUCUAGCAGACAACUCAUUUUUCAAUGAAAUCAACUACUUACAUUCUACAGAAACAAUAGAUGAUUUGAAGCCCGUGACUCAUCUUCUUGCUGUCAAUAUCGCGUCAGAGAAAGGGAUGAGAUUUCUUCGUGAAGGAAUACAUUAUCUGAUGACGGGCACCACAACUGGACGCUUGGGAGUGCUGUUUAACUCCAUUCAGGAUCCUCACUCACCAAGCAUUUUUUUCAUGAAAGUUUUCCAAAUCACAGCUUCAUCAUAUAGUCACAAGAAAGGCGCUCUGCAGUUCCUGGACCAAAUUUGUUUGCUUUAUCAACAUGAAUAUAUGCAUGCAUCUUCUGCGGGUACUGGAAACAGCGAGGCAUUUAUGGAUAAGGUCUUUGAACUGGCUAAUUCAAAUGGAUUGUCCUCAAUGGGACUCAAGUCUGCUCUCUCUGGACUUUCUGAUGAGAAGUUGAAAAUGCACUUGAAGAAGGUGGGGAAGUUUUUGUUUGGAGAAGUUGGCUUGGAGUAUGGUGCCAAUGCAGUUAUUACAAAUGGGAGAGUGAUUAGCCUAGCUGACAACACAACAUUCUUGAGCCAUGAUUUGCAACUUUUGGAGUCUCUGGAAUUUAAGCAA